GAUUGGAUAUAAUAUUUAUAUAAUAAAUAAAAUUAAUUUUAUCAUGUCAGGAUCGUGAGAUAG
rnacentral:tRNA from 1 species